rfam:Gossypium raimondii chromosome 9, whole genome shotgun sequence.
CCAAUGGAGUUUUUAGACUCCACAAACAGAGUGAGAGGAUUGGCA